rnacentral:rRNA from 1 species
CUCCCGGUGAUCCCGCCGGGACCUGACUGCUAUCGGAUUGGUACUAAGCCAUGCGAGUCGUUGUAGCAAUACAAGGCGGACGGCUCAGUAACACGUAGUCAACCUAACCUAUGGACGUGGAUAACCUCGGGAAACUGAGAAUAAACCGCGAUAGAUCAUUAUGCCUGGAAUGGCUUAUGGUUCAAACAAUUUAUUGCCGUAGGAUGGGACUGCGGCCUAUCAGCUUGUUGGUGAGGUAAUGGCCCACCAAGGCUAUAACAGGUACGGGCUCUGAGAGGAGAAGCCCGGAGAUGGGUACUGAGACACGGACCCAGGCCCUAUGGGGCGCAGCAGGCGAGAAACCUUAGCAAUGUGCGAAAGCACGACUAGGUUAAUCCGAGUGAUUUCUGUUGAAGAAAUCUUUUGUCAGUCGUAAAACCACAGACGAAUAAGGGGUGGGCAAGUCUGGUGUCAGCCGCCGCGGUAAUACCAGCACCUCGAGUGGUCAGGAGGUUUAUUGGGCCUAAAGCAUCCGUAGCCGGCUACGCAAGUCUCCGGUUAAAUCCAGCUGCUCAACAGAUGGGCUGCCGGAGAUACUACAUAGCUAGGGAGCGGGAGAGGUAGACGGUAUUCUGUGGGUAGGGGUAAAAUCCACUGAUCCAUAGAGGACCACCAGUGGCGAAGGCGGUCUACCAGAACGCGUUCGACGGUGAGGGAUGAAAGCUGGGGGAGCAAACCGGAUUAGAUACCCGGGUAGUCCCAGCUGUAAACGAUGCAAACUCGGUGAUGCAUUGGCUUAUGGCCAAUGCAGUGCCGCAGGGAAGCCGUUAAGUUUGCCGCCUGGGAAGUACGGACGCAAGUCUGAAACUUAAAGGAAUUGGCGGGGGAGCA